rnacentral:rRNA from 1 species
AUGGGAACGCGAAGAACCUUACCUAGACUUGACAUCUCCUGAAUAGGGUAGAGAUACAUGAAGCCCUUCGGGGCAGGAAGACAGGUGGUGCAUGGUUGUCGUCAGCUCGUGUCGUGAGAUGUUGGGUUAAGUCCCGCAACGAGCGCAACCCUUAUCCUUUGUUGCCAGCGGUUAGGCCGGGAACUCAAAGGAGACUGCCAGUGAUAAACUGGAGGAAGGUGGGGAUGACGUCAAGUCAUCAUGGCCCUUACGAGUAGGGCUACACACGUGCUACAAUGGCGCAUACAAAGAGAAGCGACCUCGCGAGAGCAAGCGGACCUCAUAAAGUGCGUCGUAGUCCGGAUUGGAGUCUGCAACUCGACUCCAUGAAGUCGGAAUCGCUAGUAAUCGUAGAUCAGAAUGCUACGGUGAAUACGUUCCCGGGUCUUGUACACACCG